rnacentral:rRNA from 1 species
AGAUUGAACGCUGGCGGCAUGCCUUACACAUGCAAGUCGAACGGUAACGCGGGGGCAACCCUGGCGACGAGUGGCGAACGGGUGAGUAAUACAUCGGAACGUACCCAGUAGUGGGGGAUAGCUCGGCGAAAGCCGGAUUAAUACCGCAUACGACCUAUGGGUGAAAGCGGGGGAUCGCAAGACCUCGCGCUAUUGGAGCGGCCGAUGUCGGAUUAGCUAGUUGGUGAGGUAAAGGCUCACCAAGGCGACGAUCCGUAGCUGGUCUGAGAGGACGACCAGCCACACUGGGACUGAGACACGGCCCAGACUCCUACGGGAGGCAGCAGUGGGGAAUUUUGGACAAUGGGCGAAAGCCUGAUCCAGCCAUGCCGCGUGUGUGAAGAAGGCCUUCGGGUUGUAAGCACUUUUGUCCGGACGAACGUCAAGGGCGAAUAUCCUUGGUAAUGACGGUACCGGAAGAAUAAGCACCGGCUAACUACGCGCCAGCAGCCGCGGU